rnacentral:rRNA from 1 species
GAUGAACGCUAGCUACAGGCUUAACACAUGCAAGUCGGAGGGGCAGCGUCUUAGUUUGCUUGCAAACUAAAGAUGGCGACCGGCGCACGGGUGAGUAAACACGUAUCCAACCUGCCGAUAACUCGGGGAUAGCCUUUCGAAAGAAAGAUUAAUAUCCGAUAGUAUAUUGAAACCGCAUGGUUUUACUAUUAAAGAAUUUCGGUUAUCGAUGGGGAUGCGUUCCAUUAGUUUGUUGGCGGGUAACGGCCCACCAAGACUACGAUGGAUAGGGGUUCUGAGAGGAAGGUCCCCCACAUUGGAACUGAGACACGGGUCCAAACUCCUACGGGAGGCAGCAGUGAGGAAUAUUGGUCAAUGGACGAGAGUCUGAACCAGCCAAGUAGCGUGAAGGAUGACUGCCCUAUGGGUUGUAAAACUUCUUUUUAUAUGGGGAAAUAAAGUAUUCCACGUGUGGAAUUUUGUAUGUACCAUAUGAAUAAGGAUCGGCUAACUCCGUGCCAGCCGCCGCAGU